AUCCAUCUGACGAGUCCCAAGUAAAACGAAAUGUGCGUCCUGGAU
rfam:Schistosoma rodhaini strain Burundi genome assembly, scaffold: SROB_scaffold0004653